AGUAGGAUUUAAAAAAAAAAUCAAUUUUAACUAAUUUAACAGAAUCGACCUGAGAGGACGUCCCCUCUAUCUUUGCCCCCUGCUGUCUUUCACCUGCACGUGAUGGGGUUGAGGUCUCCAGAGAACAUUGCAGAAGGAUAAUGAGUUGUGAGGAUCCUGGGCUGUGACAGAGGUAUGACAGUGAUGAAGCUAAACGAGAGGAACCGAGUCUCCCUCAGGCCCGUGCCCGUGUCCACAGCCGCUCUAAUGAGACAGCCGUCCUGCCGCCGAAUCCGACCGAGAGAGAGAACAAGCCACCAGGGAGCCAAAGAGCUUCUCACCUGGCAGCGAUUCGGAAAGCCAGAGAGACGCCGGGACGUUUUCCAUAGCAUGAAGUCCUGAUCCAGCACCAGGAACCUUCCUGCUUUCAGAAAGAGAAAGGGAUGGAAAAAAGAAGAUAAAGAAAGAAAGAGAGUUUGGCUUGAUGACCUGGUGUGGUGUGGUCGACUGAACCGGCUUCUCGUACAAAAGCCCAGUGACAAACCCGCAAGCUCUGGUAAUGUGAGGCCAUUAUCAGGGUCCUGGAUGCUCGGACCCAACCACAAGCCAUCCAUCCAUCAGUUCUCAUGCAGAACAUUCACUGAUUCGUUACGCUGAUCACCCUCACAGCUGAAUCGGGGGCGUGUCCUAAGCUGUGGAUUGGCGGCGCUCAGCUGUGAACCCUCGACCCUCUAAUCAAUACCUCAGACCCUGAACCACGGAGUUACCACCAGCCUUCACUUCCACCACCGUCAGAACCCAAAUAUUAUGGAAUCAAAAAUGGAAGUUCCCGAACACAGAGUGAAACUGGGGCAGAUCACAGUUUCUGUUUAACAUCAAAACCCAAAUAAAUCCAUAACCGUAACCAAUGAGCCACAUCCGGCCUGCGUUCUCACCCACACCGAUCAUUAUGUAAUCAGACGUGGAAGUUCCCUAGUUCAGGGUGGAACUGGGGGCAGAUGGGGUUCUAUGUACAGUGUAGAAGUCCUGCCUAAAGACUUUACAUGCCUUUACACUCUUUAAGACAUUCCUCUGGGUAGCGAAGGGUUCUUUACUUCACAUGGGGUUGUAAAUAAGCAUGACCUGCCAGGUGGAACCCCAUCAGAAAGCUCAGAAUCUCUUUCACCCUCUCUUUCUGUGAGUGUGUGUUUGUGUGUGUGUGUGUGUGAGAGAGAGAGAGAGAGAGAGAGAGAGAGAGAGAGAGAGACAGAUGGUGAGCCGUGUACAGUUUCUGGAAAACCUCAGCGUUUUGCAGCGUUGUGUUCUGAAAAGGCUGUAAAUGUGUCAGCACGUCAGCCUGAAGAACAGUCCAGAGCAUGACGACUGAAUUUCUUUUUUUAUUUUUUUUUAAUUCACAUAUGUGGCACAUGGCCAUCAUCGGCGAUCCUACAGUCUGAUCUAACGGCAUGAUUGAUUGGGGCUGCGUGAGUCUCUGAACUUUACACAUGUUGUAAUCAUGUGUGUUGGUCUUUAUUCUCCCCACGUGACGCCGUACACACUGAAACGCUCAGAGCUCUCCUAAUAAUCCUGUCCUUGAAGCAGCUGUAAACGUGUUUGAUCAGAGCUUUGGCUUCUCCACAAGGAACUCUAGGACCGAAUCAAUAGGCAAAUGACUCUUAUUUUCUCACUGCAUACUGUACUUGAUGGUAUGCGAGUGUGUAAAAUGCAGACAUCAAGGUCACUAUGCUUAAAUGCUUUAUGCAUGUCUGUCUCGCCUUUGAUCGUUCUAUUAGCUCAGAUAAAGGAGUGAGGAGCGAAACUCGGACGUGACUAAAACGAUUCUUUGAAUCGAAUGACAAUCAAAGACACGGCUGAAAUGAUUCGCUGAUUCAUGCUUUCAUCCUCUGAAUGAGACGGGAGUGAAUCUUUAAUGUUUGAAAUGGUUCACUGAUUCAAAUACCUAGCCACUGAAUGAGAAUGGAGUGAAUCUUUAAUGUUUUGAAAUGAUUCACUGAUUCAAACACCUAACCACUGAAUGAGAAUGGAGUGAAUGUUUGUCUUGAUUGAAACGAUUCACUGAUUCAAACACUGAUCCAUUGAUCACUUUUGGUACACAUGCAGUUGCAGGUAUGACAGAAGUUUAAAAAAAAACACAAGCGGAUCAAUAUCGUACAGAAUCCUGAGUCAAUUCUAGCAGGAUACAGUUUGUGCAUCCACCCUCUCACACACUGACCCAGACUCACUCGUUACUCUGUGCCAUGAGCGCUUCAUCAAGCCUUCGCAUGCCAGUUCCUAUAAACACCCUGUGCUGUGGGUUAAAAACCCAGCGCUUUCGAUCCUGUGGUCAGGAAACCGAGUGAUUCAGCAAGUGGAGGAAGCAUGAAGAGCUGGGAGGAAGAGUGUGGAGGUCAGAAGGUUACUGUUAGUGGUUUAAUUAGUGGUUUACUUGAUGGACAUGUUACACUACUGAGGAAUGGAGAAGAGAAGGAGCAGAAGGAUUAUAUAGUUGGGUGUGGCCUCUAGCUUUCAGUCUCUCCCUCGCUCUCUCUCUCUCUCUCUCUCUUAUCUCCAUGACCUGUCGAGUCUUUCUAUGUUCUCCUCUUUCACUCUCAGUCUUGAUACCUUUCUCUGGAAAAAAAAAAGAGCAAUCAGGAAUUUCGUCAAAGAUGACAGAGAAAAAACGAUGGAUUGCUGGAAGUGUGUGUGUGUGUGUGUGUGUGUGUGUGUGUGUGUGUGUUUGUGUGAAUGUCUCUCUCUCUCUCUCUCUCUAGUGAAGGUUGUGUGCUUAUCUUUCAGGUCAAAUGUUUCACUUCAUCAGACCCACCUGUGCAUCUAUCACCUGCCAGAUACACACACACACACAUACACACAUGCGCGCACACACACACACACACACACACACACACACACACACACACACACACACACACACACACACACAGAGCAGAAAGCUUCUCUGUCUUCCACCAACAAACACUCUCUUUCACCUGCAGCAUGCCAUCGAAUCUCUCACAUUCCCCAUGCAGCCUGAGAGAAGGACCAGGUGAAAAAUGGCAGGGGGGAAGAGAGUGAGAGAGAGAGAGAGAGAGAGAGAGAGAGAGAGAGAGAGAGAGCGACAGGUAAAGAGAGACGCAUCUGGUGUUUGUCACUGUGUGAGUCUAAGUGACAUGUGACAUUUAAAAGAGACCAAACUGGAGACACAUGCCUUACACCGGUGACAAAUCUGCUGCAUACACACACACAACAGUGACAGUCUCAAGACCACUCUGACUAGUUAAAACACACACACACACUUUUCUGUGUACACAUUCGGAGCUAUAAAAAAAUGGGGCCACUAAAACAGAAAGUGGCUCAGCACAGUGAUGCGUUACUCACAUUCUGGGUGUUGAAUGUGAAUGAUUCCGAAUCACAACAGACGCAUUUCCUCAUGCUGUACAGCACACACACACACACACAACCUCAGACACUCAGACCCUCACCACAUCACCUCCUCACCACCUCAUCAUCUUACCUCCUCACCACAUCACCUCCUCACCACCUUUGGGAAGUCAUGGCCUAAUGGUUAGAGAGUCUGACUCCUAACCCUAAGGUUGUGAGUUCGAGUCUUGGGCUGGCCACAACUGAGGUGCCCUUGAGCAAGGCACCGAACCCCCCCCCCAACUG